rnacentral:rRNA from 1 species
GUGGGGAAUAUUGCGCAAUGGGGGCAACCCUGACGCAGCCAUGCCGCGUGAAUGAAGAAGGCCUUCGGGUUGUAAAGUUCUUUCGGUGAUGAGGAAGGCGGUUAGUUUAAUAGGCUAAUCGAUUGACGUUAAUCACAGAAGAAGCACCGGCUAACUCCGUGCCAGCAGCCGCGGUAAUACGGAGGGUGCGAGCGUUAAUCGGAAUAACUGGGCGUAAAGGGCACGCAGGCGGUUGCUUAAGUGAGGUGUGAAAUCCCCGGGCUUAACCUGGGAAUUGCAUUUCAGACUGGGCAGCUAGAGUAUUUUAGGGAGGGGUAGAAUUCCACGUGUAGCGGUGAAAUGCGUAGAGAUGUGGAGGAAUACCGAAGGCGAAGGCAGCCCCUUGGGGAAAUACUGACGCUCAUGUGCGAAAGCGUGGGGAGCAAACAGGAUUAGAAACCCUAGUAGUCC